UGAGUAAUGUCUGGGAAACUGCCUGAUGGAGGGGGAUAACUACUGGAAACGGUAGCUAAUACCGCAUAACGUCGCAAGACCAAAGAGGGGGACCUUCGGGCCUCUUGCCAUCAGAUGUGCCCAGAUGGGAUUAGCUAGUAGGUGGGGUAAUGGCUCACCUAGGCGACGAUCCCUAGCUGGUCUGAGAGGAUGACCAGCCACACUGGAACUGAGACACGGUCCAGACUCCUACGGGAGGCAGCAGUGGGGAAUAUUGCACAAUGGGCGCAAGCCUGAUGCAGCCAUGCCGCGUGUGUGAAGAAGGCCUUCGGGUUGUAAAGCACUUUCAGCGAGGAGGAAGGUGGUGAGGGUGAGCUUAAUACGCUCAUCAAUUGACGUUACUCGCAGAAGAAGCACCGGCUAACUCCGUGCCAGCAGCCGCGGUAAUACGGAGGGUGCAAGCGUUAAUCGGAAUUACUGGGCGUAAAGCGCACGCAGCGGUUUGUUAAGUCAGAUGUGAAAUCCCCGGG
rnacentral:rRNA from 1 species